CCUACGGGGUGCAGCAGUGGGGAAUAUUGCACAAUAGGGGGAACCCUGAUGCAGCGACGCCGCGUGAGUGAAGAAGUAUGUCGGUAUGUAAAGCUCUAUCAGCAGGAACGAGACAAGACGGUACCUGACUAAGAAGCCCCGGCUAACUACGUGCCAGCAGCCGCGGUAAUACGUAGGGGGCAAGCGUUAUCCGGAAUCACUGGGUGUAAAGGGAGCGUAGACGGCUGAGCAAGCCUGAAGUGAAAGGCGGGGGCCCAACCCCCGGACUGCUUUGGGAACUGUACGGCUGGAGUGCAGGAGCGGUAAGUGGAAUUCAUGGUGUAGCGGUGAAAUGUGUAGAUAUUAGAAAGAACACCAGUGGCGAAGGCGGCUUACUGAACUGUAACUGACGUUGAGGCUCGAAAGCGUGGGGAGCAAACAGGAUUAGAUACCCCAGUAGUC
rnacentral:rRNA from 1 species